CAGUAGCCACGGGAAUACGGAGGGUGCAAGCGUUAAUCGGAAUUACUGGGCGUAAAGCGCACGCAGGCGGUCUGACAAGUCAGAUGUGAAAUCCCCGGGCUUAACCUGGGAACUGCAUUUGAAACUGUCAGGCUGGAGUCUUGUAGAGGGGGGUAGAAUUCCAGGUGUAGCGGUGAAAUGCGUAGAGAUCUGGAGGAAUACCGGUGGCGAAGGCGGCCCCCUGGACAAAGACUGACGCUCAGGUGCGAAAGCGUGGGGAGCAAACAGGAUUAGAUACCCCAGUAGUCCCUGUCUCUUAUAA
rnacentral:rRNA from 1 species